CCUACGGGUGGCAGCAGUGGGGAAUAUUGCACAAUGGGCGGAAGCCUGAUCCAGCGACGCCGCGUGAGGGAAGAAGCGCCUCGGGGUGUAAAGCUCUUUUAGCAGGGAAGAAACUGACGGCACCUGAAGAAGAAGCAGCGGCGAACUACGAGCCAGCAGCCGCGGUAAUACGUAGGGGGCAAGCGGUAUCCGGAGUUAUUGGGUGGAAAGGGGGCGGAGACGGCGAUGCAGGACGGGAGUGAAAACCCGGGGCUCAACCCCGGGCCUGCUGUUGGAACAGCGGGGCUUGAGUGCAGGAGGGGCAGGCGGAAUUCCUGGUGUAGCGGUGAAAUGCGUAGAUAUCAGGAGGAACACCGGUGGCGAAGGCGGCCUGCUGGACUGCAACUGACGUUGAGGCGCGAAAGCGUGGGGAGCAAACAGGAUUAGAUACCCGAGUAGUC
rnacentral:rRNA from 1 species